rnacentral:snRNA from 1 species
AUCCUAACCUUGUGUAACCAAUGAAGGUCUCCUGAGGUGCGAUUAUUGCUAGUUGAAAACUUUUACUAAAUUCAAUUAUUAAGACGAUUCAAUGCUCUAAUUUCUAAUCCCUUUAAAACAUACAAAUAU